GAAUCUUCCACAAUGGACGAAAGUCUGAUGGAGCAACGCCGCGUGAGUGAAGAAGGUUUUCGGAUCGUAAAACUCUGUUGUGAGGGAAGAACAGGUAGGGGAGUAACUGUCCUUACUAUGACGGUACCUCAUUAGAAAGCCACGGCUAACUACGUGCCAGCAGCCGCGGUAAUACGUAGGUGGCAAGCGUUGUCCGGAAUUAUUGGGCGUAAAGCGCGCGCAGGCGGUCCUUUAAGUCUGAUGUGAAAGCCCACGGCUCAACCGUGGAGGGUCAUUGGAAACUGGAGGACUUGAGUGCAGAAGAGGAAAGCGGAAUUCCACGUGUAGCGGUGAAAUGCGUAGAGAUGUGGAGGAACACCAGUGGCGAAGGCGGCUUUCUGGUCUGUAACUGACGCUGAGGCGCGAAAGCGUGGGGAGCAAACAG
rnacentral:rRNA from 1 species